CCUGGUGAUCAUAGCGAGGGGGUCACACCCGUUCCCAUUCCGAACACGGCCGUUAAGUCCCUCAGCGCCGAUGGUACUGCGUGGGAGACUGCGUGGGAGAGUAGGACGUUGCCAGGA
rnacentral:rRNA from 1 species